rnacentral:rRNA from 1 species
CAGUGGCGAACGGGUGAGUAACACGUGGGCAACCUGCCCUCAGCUCUGGGAUAACUCCAAGAAAUUGGGGCUAAUACCGGAUAUGACCGCUGACCGCAUGGUCUGGUGGUGGAAAGAUUUAUCGGCUGGGGAUGGGCCCGCGGCCUAUCAGCUUGUUGGUGGGGUAGUGGCCUACCAAGGCGACGACGGGUAGCCGGCCUGAGAGGGUGACCGGCCACACUGGGACUGAGACACGGCCCAGACUCCUACGGGAGGCAGCAGUGGGGAAUAUUGCGCAAUGGGCGAAAGCCUGACGCAGCGACGCCGCGUGGGGGAUGACGGCCUUCGGGUUGUAAACCUCUUUCAGCAGGGACGAAGCGAAAGUGACGGUACCUGCAGAAGAAGCACCGGCCAACUACGUGCCAGCAGCCGCGGUAAUACGUAGGGUGCAAGCGUUGUCCGGAAUUAUUGGGCGUAAAGAGCUCGUAGGCGGUUUGUUGCGUCGGCUGUGAAAACCUGAGGCUCAACCUCAGGCCUGCAGUCGAUACGAGCAGACUAGAGUGUUGCAGGGGAGACUGGAAUUCCUGGUGUAGCGGUGAAAUGCGCAGAUAUCAGGAGGAACACCGGUGGCGAAGGCGGGUCUCUGGGCAACAACUGACGC